rnacentral:tRNA from 1 species
GGGCCUAUAGUCUAAUGGAUAAAAUAUUCGGUUUCGAACCGAAAGUUCUGGGUUCGAGUCCCAGUAGGCCCA